rnacentral:rRNA from 1 species
GACGAACCGUGCGAACGUUAUUCGGAAUCACUGGGCUUAAAGCGCGUGUAGGCGGCCCGGCACGUCCGUCGCUGAAAUCCCCCGGCUCAACCGGGGAAGUGGCGUGGAUACGACCGGGCUGGAGGGGGGUAGGGGGAGCCGGAACUUCCGGUGGAGCGGUGAAAUGCGUAGAUAUCGUCAGGAAUGCCGGUGGUGAAGACGGGUGACUGGGCUGGUUCUGACACUGAGGCACGAAAGCGUGGGGAGCGAACGGG